UUUGGAAAUAAAUAUUUAUUUAGUUGAGCCUGGAUAGGCCUCGGCUCUAGGUCGGAUCUUUCGACUAGAGGUGCUCCUGAAAUAUAUUCAUGAAGGGAAAGACGAUCCACCAACAAGCAGUCGGUGCGGGUCCAUCCUUUGUACUGGGAACCUUAUGGCUAUUAAGUAUCUUUGGGUUGCAGAACAGCAACAUUAAUUUGUCGGGCUUGUACAGCAGAUGGCGGUGUGUUUGCCAAGCACUACAUUUUCCUAGACCAAGACUCGGCCUUAAUGACGAUGAUGAUGAAUUGAUGAGGCUUCUGCCAGCAUAUAGGCGACACUUUAGGCGCCGCGGGACCACGGCCGCAGGCGUUUGUUGACUCCAUGUGGCUUGUCUUCUAAGGAACCUGGAAUCUUCGCCUCGUCGCAGCCCGAAACCUCUUGCGAAGCCAGGAUAGCUGUCAGGCACUCUCUGUCAUAGGUCGCCCGAACAUCAGCAGCAAAGGGCAUUUUGUUCAAGAUGCAGGACUCGCAACCUUUUCUCGCAUUCCCCCUCGUCGAAGGUCGAAGUGGCAGCCUCCAGGUCCCUCUAGGAACUCAACGCCUUUGUUUUUUUGUAUGAAACAUCCUUUUGCUGGACGGAAUGGCCAUUUUAAAGUUUGCCAGAUCCUUUGAUACAUCCUCCGGUCCUGCAAGA